rnacentral:lncRNA from 1 species
UUUUUAGCCCAAUUAACAUAGGCCAUUCAUUUUGGUGAGAUGCUUAAAUCUAGGCCUUAGAAGGAUUUUUUCAUUUCCAAUUUUUUUGGAUGGUUUUAUUAUCAUUAGAUGAACAAUGUUAAAAAAAAAAAAAAUGAUUUUGAGUUUAUAAAGGCUAAGAUCUUGAAAUUCACAAAAUGAAUGGUCUAGAUUUGUUUUUGGA